CGGGGUUCGGAGGCUCUGGUGCCGUUCGAACGUCCAGUAUGUGUCCCUCAAUCUGACCGGUAGGGAUACAACACGUUACGGGAAUGGAGUUUGGUUAAAGGCCCCCACCGCCUGAAAGAUGAGGUGAGAGGCAAGAGGCUUGCCAGAGCGGACGACUGGAGACUAACAGAGCGGAUCUCGAGGUCUGGAGUGACAUCCGAUGCGCUCUGCCUUUGCCACGGUGAGAAGAAGCUGUACAGUGAACGGCAAUCAGUCAAGAGUCCCUCCAGUCUUUAUGCGUGGGGCUUAA